GGAUGUGAGGGCGAUCUGGCUGCAACAUUUGUCACCCCAUUGAUCGCCAGGGUUCAUUUGGCUGAUCUGGCUGACUAGGUGGGUGUCCCCUUCCUCCCUCACCACUCCAUGUGCGUCCCUCUGGAAGCUGCGCGCUCGGUUGAAGAGGACGACCUUCCCCUAUAGAGGCAUGCCGUUCAUUGGUCAAGGGUAUAUGGUAGUUGCGCUCCCCUGCUAGAACCUCCAAACAAGCUCAAGGUCCAUUUGUAGGAGAAUGUAGGGUAGUCAAGCUUCCAAGACUGUCAAGUGAGGCACUGCAUGGGGCAGUCUGCCUUUGUUU
rnacentral:snRNA from 1 species